UGUCUUGGUAAAGAAAGUUGGAGGAGGCAGAAAAGCUUGAUGGAGGAGGACAGAGAAGAAGCUUCAUGAGGUGGAGGAGGCUGGACGAACAGACAGCAGAAGAGGCGGGAUGAAAAGGCGGAGGAGGAGGCUUGACGCUCAAGUUUGCCAGCGGUGGAGAGUUCAACAAGAAGAUGGCGGCCUCUUGAUUAGUUUUAGUGUUGUAUUUUUUUUUUAAUUUUGUUUAAUGGUAUAAACCAAUUAAAAAUUACAAACCGGUUCAAAUAUUUUGUAAACCUGUUUUAAUAUAUACAUUAUAUGUUUAUCUAUAUUCUAGAGUGAUGAGAGGACGAGAUCUUUGUAGAUGCAGUUUUGAGUGAUGAGGUCUGACACGGAGGCCAAGCCGUGGACGUUAAUGGCAGCAUAGAAGUUGGAGACACCUUCAGAGUUCAGACACAGAUCUGGGAGCUGUUCGGGACGCAAUGUCGAUGGCUGUCUCCCACUACACAGCUGAUUUUGCAGACGGACUACAAGAUGUGAACAAUUGCCACCGAGUGACGGUUGUUGGUUUCAAACUAUUGCCAGAAAGGUUUAUUCUUUGGACUGGACACCUGAGAUGAACCAGAUUGUCAGUGCAUCUCAACAAGACACACUCAGUUAGAAGAGAAAAGUGAUGGAAAAGGGAAAGACACAACCAAAGGGCCAAUUGAUAAAGUGCUGAAAAUGCAAUCGUUUAGAUCUUGAAAAGAUACUGAAAAUGUGGGAGAUUGGCACAUUUCUCCAUUAGAGUUACUCCACAGUGGUCCUUUGCUUGAUUUUGAUCUUCUUCCAGGAUGUUGUUCUUCAAUGGCUGCCUUGAGUUUACCGUCUCUACCAAAUGUCCUUAUCUCAGACACUUGUGGAGAAGCUUAUGGUCUCUGUCAAAGCUGCAGAGCCUUUUCCUUCAAUCGUCGCAGCAUCUAAAACUAUUGCAGUGGUUUCAUCUGGAUUGUGUGGAGAUCACGGAGAUGCCAUACAUUUGACAACAAUAAUGCUACCGAUAUCAAUGAACAUAAAUUUUUCUCCAACUCUCUCUUUUUCAUGUUACCACCACUCCAUUAUAAGAAGCUAUCUAGAGAUUUUGUUUCUGUCACCAGCUAUCUAGAGAUUUCAUACUUCAUAAUAACUUUAAAAAUUGAAAAAUAAUCUACAUUUUCAUCUUUUUAGUAUAUAGAUCAAAUCUAUUAACGACACAUUUAAUAAUUGAUGAAAUAUUUCUAAUUAUUUUCAAUUGAACCAAGUUCUUUUCAACAAACUUUCUUUGAACAUAUAAUAAUAUAGUAAAUACGUAAAUAUAAUUCAAAAAUAUAUAGAAUUCUGAAAAAAAAAAUAAGAGUAAGAGAUGUAAAGUUUUUUUUUGAACACGAGAUUAAAAGGUACUUCCUACAUUAGAAAAAAACAAUAGUUUGUUCCCCAAAAGUAUACAUAAAUUAACAAGAAAUUAAAAAAAACACAACUAAUGACUAAUAUAUAAGCAGAACAGAAAUCUAAUUAGAAAUUCUGGAAAA